AGAAAUGAGAAAGGAGAGGAAGUGAAAAGCCAUCUGUGACCCUGAGUUAGGGUUUUGCGGAGACGCAUAUAUAUAGAAAAUAAUAGGGUUUGGGAGUUGAUCUGAGAGCGGCGAGAUGAGGGGAGAAGUGAUGGGUGUGGGAGUCUUGGUAAGAAAAUAAACGAAAGAUUUGAAUAUUUUCUCUGGAAUUUUCUUUCCAAUGCCUCCCAUGCCCCUCAUUUUCUCCUUCCUCUACCUUCCGCCAUCAUCCGUCCCUGUGUCUUCUGCAUCUGCUUCAGGUGUAUCAUAUCUCAGUCUGGUUCACUGGGAUAAAUUAAAUCACAGGUGUGGGAGGUUUGGAAAGAGAUAGAUAAAUAUUUGUGCAUAUACACCACUCAAUUUUUGUCUCUUUUUUUCCAAUGCCUCCCAUACCCUUGAUGGUCUUCCCCUUUACAUAGCCUUUUAACUUAACCAUGGACCAGAGCUAUUCCAGCUCACCAAUAUCAUCUUGUUCUUGUUCUUGAGGUAUGCAUAUAUUAUAGUCUGUUAUUAUUGGCUCAUCCUGAAGUCUGAUGUGUCUGAUCUGCCUUUUUUAAGCAUACAGACGGGUCUGUUAACGUUUGGAUUGGUUUAUGAGCCGGACUAGAGACAGACAAAUCUUUCGGGAGGAGUAACAAAAUUCCUAAAAUGAUGCUCAAGACAAAAAAUUAUUUAUACUGUAUUUCCAUCAACAUAUUAUGAAGAUUAUCUCUUUCCUUUUGGAUUUCUUGAAGCAGAGAAGAUCGAAGCUGAUGGAAUAUGAUGUUUAAUUGUAAUUUUUCACUGAAGACCGGAAAAAAAAAAAUAGAUCAAGAGCGUGCAUGGAAAAGAUAUGAAGGAGCAUCAGCAUAAUUGUAAUAUAAACUUUUUUUUUACCAGCAUAAUUGUAAUAUAAACUAGAUCUUCCGAAUAUGUGUGUUGUGUAUUGCAGAAGAUGAGCAGGAUGGUUUGAGAUGAUUCCAAGACCGAAGGAUUUUAUCUUUUUUAUUCGAAAAAUAGACGUUAGAUAUGGAAGUUGUUUAGAUACGGAACAUCUUUUGCAGAAAUCUGAAACCGCUCAUCUUGUGAUUGAUUUUUAAUACGCUAUGCUGAUAGAUAAA